rfam:Brassica napus, WGS project CCCW01000000 data, contig: 12710
AAGCCAUGAUGUGGAAAUUGAGAUGCGUAGCCUAUGAAACUUUCAUAUGCUUCUCCAAAGCCUUCAAGAUUCUUCUGCUGAAACCCAGAGAUCUCAUUCCUAAGCUU